CCGGCGAGGGGAGUGAAAAAGAACCUGAAACCGUGUACGUACAAGCAGUGGGAGCCCCACCACUAAGCCAGUGGUGAACUCCACAUACGCAUCCUUUGCUGAGGAUACGGUUAACGGAGCGAAAGCGACGUUCAACCUCAAAAGAAGCAGAGGGGGCUUAGUGGUGGGGUGACUGCGUACCUUUUGUAUAAUGGGUCAGCGACUUAUAUUCUGUAGCAAGGUU
rnacentral:rRNA from 1 species